rnacentral:rRNA from 1 species
GCCAGACUCCUACGGGAGGCAGCAGUGGGGAAUAUUGCACAAUGGGGGAAACCCUGAUGCAGCGACGCCGCGUGAAGGAAGAAGUAUUUCGGUAUGUAAACUUCUCUCAGCAGGGAAGAAAAUGACGGUACCUGAGUAAGAAGCCCCGGCUAACUACGUGCCAGCAGCCGCGGUAAUACGUAGGGGGCAAGCGUUAUCCGGAUUUACUGGGUGUAAAGGGAGCGUAGACGGCAGUGCAAGUCUGGAGUGAAAGGCGGGGGCUCAACCCCCGGACUGCUCUGGAAACUGUACGGCUGGAGUGCAGGAGAGGUAAGUGGAAUUCCUAGUGUAGCGGUGAAAUGCGUAGAUAUUAGGAGGAACACCAGUGGCGAAGGCGGCUUACUGGACUGUAACUGACGUUGAGGCUCGAAAGCGUGGGGAGCAAACAGGAUUAGAUACCCCCGUAC